rnacentral:rRNA from 1 species
AUUGAACGCUAGCGGCAGGCCUAACACAUGCAAGUCGAGCGGUAGCACAAGAGAGCUUGCUCUCUGGGUGACGAGCGGCGGACGGGUGAGUAAUGUCUGGGAAACUGCCUGAUGGCGGGGGAUAACUAGUGGAAACGGUAGCUAAUACCGCAUAACGUCGCAAGACCAAAGUGGGGGACCUUCGGGCCUCACGCCAUCAGAUGUGCCCAGGUGGGAUUAGCUGGUAGGUGGGGUAACGGCUCACCUAGGCGACGAUCCCUAGCUGGUCUGAGAGGAUGACCAGCCACACUGGAACUGAGACACGGUCCAGACUCCUACGGGAGGCAGCAGUGGGGAAUAUUGCACAAUGGGCGCAAGCCUGAUGCAGCCAUGCCGCGUGUGUGAAGAAGGCCUUCGGGUUGUAAAGCACUUUCAGCGAGGAGGAAGGGUAAUGUGUUAAUAAGACAUUGCAUUGACGUUACUCGCAGAAGAAGCACCGGCUAACUCCGUGC